rnacentral:rRNA from 1 species
UGGUUCUGGCAUCCAUGAAGAACGCUGCGAAAUGCGAUACGUCGUGUGAAUUGCAGAAUUCAGUGCAUCAUCGAAUCUUUAAACGCACAUUGCGGCCUUUGGUAUUCAAAAGGGCAUGCCUGUUGGAGCGUCAUUUGCACCCUCAAGCUUUCCUUGGUGUUGGGCGUCUUUUCUCUCACGAGACUCGCCUUAAAAACAUUGGCAGCCCACCUACUGGUUUCGGGGCGCAGCACAAUUCUUGCAGUUUGAAUCAGCCUUGGUUGAGGAUCCAUCAAGCCCCUAUUUUAUAACUUUUGACCUCGGAUCAGGUAGG